GACCCCCGGCUUCUGGCCUCUGCGGAGAGGCCAGGUGCACGGCUGUCCGAAACGCGAGUAAUAACACAUUUAAUGCUAAUUAUGCCCAUUGCAGGCGCGAUUGCUUCAUCCUCCUAUACGAUUAACCAUAUCGGAUCGCUAUAUGACUCUUAACCGGUUGCUAAGCAUUGACGAAAUCCGUUUCACCCAUGCCGCUUGUAUAACGAAACCAUUCGAAACGAAUGGAAACGAGUCGAAUCCGAUCGAGGC